AAAAAAAAAGCCACCUGCACAGUGCUCGACAGUUCUGAACAAGGAAGAGCGCCUGGCCGGAGGACUAAAGGUCCCUAGGGUGUUGACAUCCUGGCGAGAAAAAACGGACGCAGCGGCCGCGGCAUCCCGAUGCCUGUUGUGGCAAACAUUUCACACGCCGAGGUCAGGAUGACAAGAUCUAAAAGCGGUGAUGGAAAGAAAAAAAAAAGGGAAGGGUGGGGAGCAAGGUACAUGAAGGGCGAAGGAAAGAAGGUUAAAUGAAAAGUGAGCUUCUUUCCUAAAUGAAGGAGGGAGGGAGAAAAAGAAAAGAUUGAAGUAGUGACGAGAAAAUUGGAUGGGAAACAACGGAAGAAGAAGCCAGUAGAAAAGAACCGUAACACAAUCACAUUACAGAUAAGUUUAACGGAAAGAUACUACAAAGGUGAAGAAA